ensembl:snRNA U1 U1 spliceosomal RNA
AUACUUCCCUGGCAGAGGAGAUCCCAUGAUCAUGAAGGUGGUAUUUCCAGAGUAAGACCAUUGUACUCUGGAUGUGCUGACUCCUGUAAUUUCCCCAAAACUGGGAAACCUGACUACAUAAUUUGUGGUAGUGGGGUGUUAUGUUAGUAUUCCCCAC